rnacentral:rRNA from 1 species
UACGGGGGGAGCAAGCGUUGUUCGGAUUUACUGGGCGUAAAGGGCGCGUAGGCGGUCAGCACAAGUCAGUUGUGAAAUCUCCGGGCUUAACCCGGAAAGGUCAACUGAUACUGUGCGACUAGAGUGCGGAAGGGGCAACUGGAAUUCUCGGUGUAGCGGUGAAAUGCGUAGAUAUCGAGAGGAACACCUGCGGCGAAGGCGGGUUGCUGGGCCGACACUGACGCUGAUGCGCGAAAGCCAGGGAGCAACGGG